GGGGAAUUUUCCGCAAUGGGCGCAAGCCUGACGGAGCAAGACCGCGUGAGGGAGGAAGGCUCUUGGGUUGUAAACCUCUUUUCUCAGGGAAGAACACAAUGACGGUACCUGAGGAAUAAGCCUCGGCUAACUCCGUGCCAGCAGCCGCGGUAAUACGGAGGAGGCAAGCGUUAUCCGGAAUUAUUGGGCGUAAAGCGUCCGCAGGUGGCUUGUCAAGUCUGCUGUCAAAGGUCAAGGCUUAACCUUGAAAAGGCAGUGGAAACUGACAAGCUAGAGGGCUCUAGGGGUAGAGGGAAUUCCCGGUGUAGCGGUGAAAUGCGUAGAGAUCGGGAAGAACAUCGGUGGCGAAAGCGCUCUACUGGAGAGCAACUGACACUCAGGGACGAAAGCUAGGGGAGCGAAUGGGAUUAGAUACCCCUG
rnacentral:rRNA from 1 species